rnacentral:rRNA from 1 species
AGUAGUGGCGAGCGAAAGCGGAUCAGGCCAAACCGUGUACGUGUUCAAGCCGGCAGGCGUUGCGUGCACGGGGUUGUGGGACCUUUCCGUUGGAUCUGCCGAUCCGACAGGGAGUCAGAAAGUCGCGUCAUAGUCGAAGGGCAUUGAAAGGCCCGGCACAGAGGGUGUGACCCCCGUAGACGAAAUGGCGUGGCCUCCCGAAGGGGAUCCCAAGUAGCUCCGGGCCCGAGAAACCUGGAGUGAAUCUGCACAGACCACUGUGUAAGCCUAAAUACUACCUAGUGACCGAUAGCGGACAAGUACCG